UUAGUACUUCAUCCGUCCCUAAAUAACUGUCGUUUUUUUGGAUGAAUCUGGUGCCAUUUUAGAAUCAGAUUCAUAAAAAAAAACGACAGUUAUUUAGGGACAGAAGGAGUAAUUU
rnacentral:pre_miRNA from 1 species